rnacentral:lncRNA from 1 species
UGGAAGACUUAUGGGAAAGGAGGAGAAUAGUCUAGUUGGGUUGACCCUAACAUUCCAGCCUUCUAACAGAUAAUAGAAAAGCAGUGUUGUUCUCAUCAGUCUGCUUUAAGCUGAGAAGGGGCAGUGGUUAGUGGGAGAGGCUGUAAGGUGGAGAGUAGAAGAGAGGAUAAUAUAAAGAUCACGCCAAGUGAGUUUGUAAGAUUGGGUAAGGUAUUUGAACUCCUUAAUAUAAGUGUCGGGAUCAGAGAAAAAGGACUCCAGAUGUUUUUCAAUUUGGAAAUGGUCAGAGAGGGAGAAGGGAACAUGGAAAUGCAAAUGAUCCCUUCAGUCCCAGCCACCUCUCAAAGGAUUGCUCUCAUGGAUCUUCAGCCAAGGCUAGAAAUCAAACCAUUCUAGGAUUCACCUGGAAGUGCUGGGAAAAUUGUACUGAAUUUGCUAUUCCAGGGAUAGCUCUGUCUUAGUCUGUUCUCACGCUGCUACUAAAGACAUACUUUCCUUAUAAAGGAAAGAGGUUUAAUUAACUCACAGUUCCACAUGGCUGUGAGGCCUCACAACCAUGGCAGAAAGCAAAGAAGGAACAAAGUCAUGGCGGCAGGCAAGAGAGCUUGUGCAGGGGAACUUCCCUUUGUAAAACCAUAAGAUCUCCUGAGACUUAUUCACUACCAUGAGAACAGUAUGGGGGAAACUGUCCCCAUGAUUCAAUCAUCUCUACCUGUCUGCACCCUUGACACAUGGGGAUUACUACAAUUCAAGGUGAGAUUUGGGUGGGGACACAGUAAAACCAUAUCAGCUCUUUACUCAUUCCAUGACUAUCUAUUAUAGUUAUCAUUUGUAAGCAGUAUCAGAGACACUAGGUAUUCAGUGACAACAGAAAAGAAAUCUUUGUGACCUCAUUGAGAUAAUCUUUUUAACAUGGAAAAGAAUGUAAAGUUGCAAACAAUUGAAUUGCAAAGGAAUUUUUCAGAUUUUGCUGGGAAGAUUUUUGGCUUAGUAUAUCUGAAAAUACCCACAUUUUCAAUUUAUUUUAAGAUAUAAAAUUUGUAGGUACUACUUUUGUGAUAUUUGACGCCAGAUACUUCCUUAUGGCAAGAUCUUUUCCUCUGUACCCCUAGUCCUUUGCUAAAGAGGGGAAUACAAGUUUCUGUAUUACCAGCCUAUAGUACUUGCGGGCCAAUGAGAAGUAAAAUGCAUUAAGUAGUUUAUAAUCCUGCAGUACCCCUUAAGGUUUCUUUCUUCUAUUAUAAUAUUAUGACACAAAUGUCUGGUAGUAAAUAGAUGUGCAAAUAUAGUGAAAUUAUUCUUGUUCUCUAAACUAUCUUAUAAUAAUUAUAUUUACAUAUCUUGUUCUUUCUGUGUUGGUCAGAUAGUUGAAAUGCAUAGUUGUUCUGAAAAAGGGCCUAUAAAUUAGGGAACUUUGAACAAAGAUGACAUCAGUAUUUUUUUUUAUAUGAUAGCAAUUUUAGUGGUUCAUUUCUGAAGAACUUAAUUUGUUUAGCUUAAAAACACAAGAUACUUCACUUAAAAUAUUUGUGAAAAUUAAGAGCAUCAUUAAAAUAAGCAUACUCUGUUGUUUUUGUAAAUAUCAAACAUAAAUAUGAAACAUGGCAGCUCUAUUUAUAAUUACAAAACUUGGAAGCAACCAUAUUGUUUUUCAAUAGGUGAGUGGAUAAACAAACUUUGAUAAAUCAUACAAUAUAAUAUUAUUUAGUGAUAAAAAGAAAUGAACCAAUAAACCACAAAAAGACAUGGAAGAAAAUUAAAUGUAUAUUACAAGGUGAAAGAAAUUAGUCUAAAAAGGCUAAGUACAGUAUGAUUCUCAAAUAUAUGACAUUAUGGUAAAUGCAAAAGAUAGUAAAAAGAUCAGACGUUUCCAGGGGCUUUGUGAAGAGGGUAUGAAAGGUGAGAGAUGGAACCCUGAGCAUUUUCAGGGCAAUAAAACUAUUCUAUAUGAUGCUGUACAGAUGGAUUUAUAACAUUAUACAUUUGUCACAGCUGUAGAAUGUACAACUUAAGAGUGAACACUAAUAUAAACUAUGGAUUUUCCUUGAUAAACUUGUAAUAAUACUGGCUCCUGAAGUGCAAAAAAUGUACCAUACUAAUGCAAGAUCUUGAUAAUAGGGGAAACUCUGUAUAUGUGUGCAUAUGUAUGUGCAUUGGGAGGAGAAUGUAUAUGGAAACUGUAACCUUUGCUCAGUUUUUUUUGAAACUUAAAACUAGUUUAAAAGAAU